GUUUUCCCCAUCACUGAUGGCUGCAGCCGUGCAAGAUCAGUGUCACCCUUUCUUGUCCAUCUCCCACUUUUAGACUUUGAGGUCAGCUCCACAGGUCUUUACUGGAAAAUUUGGGGCCAAUGUUGAACCUCUUUGGCCUCUAACCUUGUAAGACAGAAUGAUAAUGCCUAUUUGUAAUACUGUUAUAGUAUUCAAAAUGUGAACAUAUAGAAAGUCCUUAACACAGCAGCUGAGGGAUUCUAGCAUCCUCAUCGUCGUCAUCAGCAACAGCAGUAGCAGUAUUAAUACUGCUAAUGGUAAUUGCACUACUAUUUUCACAGAAGGUAAAGGAUGCUGGGUGCCACCUGGUUAAUGGCCAUUAGAGCCAAAAAAUUACGAAUCAGAACAACACUCAUUAGAACUACUAGGAUUCAUUUCUGCUUGUCUCAAGUUUUUUCAUUCUCAUGCUGAGAAUUUGACCUGUUAAAAUUUUUUGGAGCAACCUUUAAUCACCCAUAACAGUUAUCACCACUACUUUAGCCUCCUGAACCCUCUAAAAAUGAGAAAAUUAGUUUCUUUGUGGAGAAAUGACAUGGGUCCACAGUUCCUUCCCCACUGUCCCCUUAUGGAGACUCACAGAAAACAGCAAAUGGAGAUAGGACCAUCUCGCCCUGGGCUCUCAUGCACAAAAGGUCUGAGCUGACCUAGCGCUGUGUGAUCCAUCUGGCUAGCAGGCCCCACCUGCCCACAGUCCUCUCACCAGCUGACCACGCCCACCACAUGCUGACAUGAAUGACAGACGGUAUGCAAAGAAUUUCCCACAAUCCUCCACUUUUCGCUGCAACUUUGUAAGGAGUUAUUAGCUAUCCCAUUGUUCAGUUGAAAGAACCAGGCUUUGAAAGCCAGCUUUGAAGAAAACCUUCACAGUUAGUCUAACCAACCCCUUUCUUUUUCAGAUGAGGACGCUAAAAGGUUAAGUGUCUUACUCAAAAUCACAGUGACGCGAUGACAACAAGGAGACAGGCACUUGACAUAUGUACUGUCAUUUUUUUUUUCUCACAAUCUUACCAAGAAGGACACACUGCUGGGUUUCUGUUCGUGACUAAAAGGCUCAGGGGUCACUCCGGUUGAACUGGGCUAACUGGGCUGCGCAAAAUAACCACACAAGAGACACAAGUACCUUUAUCUUUGGGGUCACUGUGACGGCUCCUCUGACCUUAAGGGUCCACAGGAAGAGAGAGAGCAAGAGCACGCGCUGACCUCUUUUACUGAGGAGAAGCUAUUCAGAUGAGGCAAGUGGUCAGGUUUCAGGGGGCUGAGUCUAUCUUCAUGAUGUCCACUGUCAGCAGGUUGACUGACAUCUAGGUAGGCCACACCCAAGGGCACAGUAAGAGAAGGGGACACACCAAGGCACUUCCAUGGAAGAUUCUAUCCUAAACAGGGCAAGGGGUUAUAUUACAAAAGAACAGGUGAGCAUAGCUCCACCCAUGGGACUGUAGCAAGACACAUCCAUGCACGAGAC
rnacentral:lncRNA from 1 species